rnacentral:tRNA from 2 species
UCGUGGCGGAGUGGUUACGCAGAGGACUGCAAAUCCUUGUACGGGGGUUCGAUUCCCUCCGAG